rnacentral:rRNA from 1 species
UACGAAGGGGGCUAGCGUUGUUCGGAUUUACUGGGCGUAAAGCGCACGUAGGCGGCUUUGUAAGUUAGAGGUGAAAGCCCGGGGCUCAACCCCGGAAUUGCCUUUAAGACUGCAUCGCUAGAAUUGUGGAGAGGUAAGUGGAAUUCCGAGUGUAGAGGUGAAAUUCGUAGAUAUUCGGAAGAACACCAGUGGCGAAGGCGACUUACUGGACACAUAUUGACGCUGAGGUGCGAAAGCGUGGGGAGCAAACAGG